rnacentral:rRNA from 1 species
UACGUAGGGAGCAAGCGUUGUCCGGAAUCAUUGGGCGUAAAGGGCGCGUAGGUGGCCCGGUAAGCGUGCGGUGAAAGCUUGGGGCUCAACCCCGAGUCGGCCGUGCGAACUGCUGGGCUUGAGCACUGUAGAGGCAGGCGGAAUUCCGGGUGUAGCGGUGGAAUGCGUAGAGAUCCGGAAGAACACCGGUGGCGAAGGCGGCCUGCUGGGCAGUAGCUGACACUGAGGCGCGACAGCGUGGGGAGCAAACAGG